UUUCCUGGAAGCUGCUGGGAGCCAUCGCUGGUCUAAGCUCCUCAGCAGAAUGUCCCCCUUUGUCCUCAGGGCACACAGAGGGGCCGAGAUAAAGGCCCUGAGUGACCCUCUGAAGGGCACCCCCCACCCUGCCCCCAGCUGCUCACAGCACACCAGGGGGAAACUGAGGCUCAGAAAGGACUCCAAGGAUCACCCAGGAAAACCAAGAAGUCCACGGAUCGCCUGAGCACUGUCCUACGAACCACGGCCCGGGCCCCUCGUGACUUUGGCCUCGCAGGUUGAGGUCAUUCUUCUCCCCACCUGGAGAAGGCUUCCCUCCCGUCCCCGGCACCCAGGAUUGGAGGCUGAGAAGCACACUGUGAUACGACGAUGAUCUUGGACGUGAGGUCGGACGACUGAAAUUUUAUUGGCUCUUCUUACAGAGAGAUCAGGGAGAACUUCCUUCCGCCCUUGGGCGCACUGAGGUCCUUGAUUGGCUUGGAGCACGGGCAUUGGGCCAGCUCCUCCCAGCGUCCCCUCUGGAUCCGGUGGAAUUUCUCUGCCACCGGCAGGUUGUUCUUCUGCAUCCGACAGGUGGGAGUGAUGGCUGAGGGCUGUGGCUUGCCAUUUCCCCCACCCCCAGCCUUGGAGGCAGCACCAUCUCCCGUCUCUGGGGCACCCGCUGGCCUGCUCCGGAGAGCUCUCUGGAGCCUGUUAGGAAAAGCAGUGCACCCUCAGAUGCCAGCGCCUCCCCAAAUCCCUUGGUCCGAAAGGCUUUGUGGGCCCCCCAGCUGGCCCUCCCUCCUCCCGGGGCGAUGCUCUGGUCUCCUCAGUGUGAAGGGUCCUGGCAGCAAGAAAGAGAAUCAUCGUGGAGUCUGCCCUGGGCUGCAGCGCCACAGACCCUGGCUCCCUGGGUAAGGCUCCGGGCUCCCCCCGCCCAGGUCACCCCUCCCCAGUGUGGCUGGGACCCGUCCACUCCUCCCAGACAUGACUCUCCUGGACAGCCCAAGGCCACCACUGCCUCCCCUGCCCCUGUAGUCCACUGUCGGCCCAGCAGCCAGCACGGCAGCCCCUCCCCCCACCCAGGUGGCGGUCAGGGCCCCGGGAGGACCCUGAAAAUGGGGUCAGCAAGCACCAGCCAACCAAGGAGGACCUGGAGUUCAUGGUUGUGCAGGAAACUUGAGAAGGCCCUGAGAGCUCACUGCCGCUGCGUGGGACCAACUUGGCAGAGGUGUCCCCAGAUUGGACGAUCAUCCCGGAAGAUUUACGGGACACGAUAAAAAAUGGAUGUGGAUUAUGAGAAAGGAAACAUUCCUCAACCAUCGAUAACACCAACAAAAUCGGUUUCCGUCAAACUUUCCCACAGGCCACCCAGGCUCUCUCUCCCUCCUCUCCGUAGGAAAUGAUACGGCAAAGUCUCUUCUUCCAAGGGGACAGAGUCCGCGGAGGUCAGGGGAGGCGGUCCAGCGCCACAGGCAGGCAGGCAGGCAGCGAAUUAAAAAGCCAGUGAUUCUGUGAUGACGUUGGUGAUUCUCAGCUUUUUGAGAUCUCUAAUUUAUUGUGAUUUCUUUUCUUGUUCUAAAUAAGCACAAAUUAUAGAGCUCACUUGAUUCUAAAAUUCUGGGCUCUUUUUUUCCUAAAGAGAAUGGCCCAAAUUAUAUAUUUCAGGUCUUGCCAAAAAUAUGAAUCUGCUGUCCCCGAGGGUUUCCUAAAGCCUUUAGAAUCAAGCCGAAUCUCCUCCCUGGGGAACUGCCCUUAUCCCCUCGGCCCCAGCCCCGGCCCCACCUCCCAGCCCUCUGGGUCACCGGCCUGCGGGCUCUGGACAGGGGAUGGCUUCUUCCUGGCCUCUGAUGGCUGAGCUCAAUCCUACCUGGGGCCUUCUACCUCCUGCCUGGAAACGCUUAUCGAUUUCCCCUCCGGUCACACAGGGCUCAGUUGGAGGCCACCUCCUUUGAGAGUCCCUGGGGAAUGAUCCUUUUUGAAGUGAGGACCCUCCUGGCCCCCUCUCGGCCUCUGCUUCACCCCUCUGCUGAGUCCUUUUCUUUUUGAGGGCGUCCUCUUCAGUGACUGUCCUCUCCCUCUGCCCUAGGAGCUGGGGCGGGGAGCCCCAGGAGGGCAGGGUCCUGUCUGUCCUCUGCUGUGGCCUCCAGCACACAGAGCGGCGCUGGGCUGGCAGUCAACACCCCGUAGCUAAGGGCUGAAUUACCAGACCAUUGUUUGUAGUCAGAAUCGGAAACGUGCCCCCGGAGUGUUCAAAUGUGCAAACUCUUUGACUUGUGACUUUCACUUCUACUAAUUGAUCCCCAGACAGUUAUCGGACAGACCCACUAAAAGAGAGCGUGGCCUCCCGUGGAACAUCAUGGGGAUCAACCAGAUCUGGGUUUUCAUCUUAGCUCUGCCGGCUCAAUAGCUGCACGACCGGGAGCAAUUCCCAAUGUCUCUGGGCCCCGGUUUUCUCAUCUUUAAACGGGGAUAGUAAUUGUCUGAUCCAGAGAGGGACGCCGAGACCCACGUGUGGUCAUGGGUGGAAAACGCUGAGUGCAGAGCCAGGCAGGGUGAAGGGUCCAAUGAGUGUCAGGUCCCACUGUCUUCCGCGACGCUCACUGGAAGGUUGUUUAUGGUGGAAUAAAAAUCCUAAAGGGCCUAAAUAUCCAACCCCAGGGAAUUGUCUAGAUCACUGUCAACCAACUGAAGGGAGAAGCAGCAUAAACCACAAAUGUGAUUUUAAAAUGUCCUCGUGGGCACAUCCAAAAAAGCAAAAGAAACAGCUCAAGGUGACGUUGAUGACGUAUGGCCUUUGACCACAGAGCAAAGGUGUGAUUUGAACCCGUGAUCCCCGUACAGGUGACUUCUUGGGUAGCUCAUCGCAGUCUUUUCGGGGGCCACGUCUUCACAGCCUGGUUGUCACUUUACACUUACGUGCAUUGCAGUUUGGACCAGCCACAUUCCAGAUGCUCAGCAGCCACACGUGGCCAACGGUGACACCACACUGGGAGCACGGGUCCAGCCGUGAGAAACCCUGGUUUUAAAAGAAUAUGCCAUCGUUCAAGAAAAUGUUCGAAAGUGAGAUUUAGUGGAAGACGUGGUGCACAAAACCCAAAACGGUAAAGUGUGAUCCCACUUGCACUCUCCACUUGCUGGGUCUGUUUGUGGCAAUAGGUGUGUGGGUGGCUGGGAAAUGCAGCCCAACCCUCGCAGGGGCUGUGCGGGGGGCUGGAACGUGGGGAUCGUCAUCGUCCCCUUUAUGCUCUUGCACUGUAAGCCUGGACACUUCUAGGGUCGGUGGAGGAAGGGGACUAUUUUUACAGCACGUGGAGGAGGUUCCGCCAUCUUGCCCCAUAACUGGACCAUGGCGACCACUCCUGGAUGUGAGGUGCUGUCAGAGAGCUGGUCUGGACUCCUCCCUGGUCUGGGCAUCUGUGCACCUGGCUGGAUGAUUUCACUUCCUCUCAUGAAGGCAGAGGGACCGUCAUGAUUCCUGACUUUGGCUUCAAAGCCUGUGACUCCAUUUGGUCAGUGGCAGUGGGCAGAAGUGGCAAUUUUCAGUUCCUUUUCUAGGUCUUCAGGGGGCACUGCGUGUUCCUAUUCUUAUGUCUCUGUCAAUGCCCCGUCCAUCCCACUGACCCUAGGAGGACAGAGACAGGAGGGACAGACCUGCAACCCGCCUCCCCUCACCAACCCUAGGUGCCUGAGAGACACUCACUGAGUACAGAGUGACACACAGACGUCUGUGGCUGUCUGUUACGAAGCUGUAGCUGAUGAAUACCGUGGUGUUGAACUAUCUCACACGCACUCAAGUCUAAAUAAAUUUGAUCGACAAAAAGUUGAUCGCAAUAUAAAUCAGAAAUCUGAAACAAAAGAAAAGCAUUCUGAAAAUUUUUUAAAAUGCAAUUCCUAAGGAUCUAGGAGGCAAAAGAAGCCUGGAUCUUACCCCAGAGAUUUGGGCACCACCCUUACUACAAUCUGGUCACGGAAGGACGUCAUUUUCUUGCUCUUAGGUGUUAUCCAGUCCUGGGGAUGGCAAAAUGAAAACCCCCAAACCACUUGAUUUAAGAACACAUCAUUGUCCCCUUUAGAAAAUCAAACAUGUCCAUCAGAGAAAAGAAGAGACAAUAAAAAAGGGAAAGAAAAAGAAAAAUCACUCGUCAUCUCAGGGCCAAGAUAC